GACGAACGCUGGCGGCGUGCUUAACACAUGCAAGUCGAGCGGUAAGGCCCUUUCGGGGGUACACGAGCGGCGAACGGGUGAGUAACACGUGGGUGACCUGCCCUUAGCUCUGGGAUAAGCCUGGGAAACUGGGUCUAAUACCGGAUAUGACUCCAUGACGCAUGUUGUGGGGUGGAAAGCCUUGUGCGGCUAGGGAUGGGCCCGCGGCCUAUCAGCUUGUUGGUGGGGUGAUGGCCUACCAAGGCGACGACGGGUAGCCGGCCUGAGAGGGCGACCGGCCACACUGGGACUGAGACACGGCCCAGACUCCUACGAGAGGCAGCAGUGGGGAAUCUUGCGCAAUGGGCGAAAGCCUGACGCAGCGACGCCGCGUGAGGGAUGACGGCCUCGGUUGUAAC
rnacentral:rRNA from 1 species